UACAGAGGGGGCAAGCGUUGUUCGGAAUUACUGGGCGUAAAGGGCGCGUAGGCGGCCUGUUAAGUCGAACGUGAAAUCCCUGGGCUCAACCCAGGAACUGCGUCCGAUACUGGCAGGCUUGAAUUCGGGAGAGGGAUGCGGAAUUCCAGGUGUAGCGGUGAAAUGCGUAGAUAUCUGGAGGAACACCGGUGGCGAAGGCGGCAUCCUGGACCGACAUUGACGCUGAGGCGCGAAAGCGUGGGGAGCAAACGGG
rnacentral:rRNA from 1 species